rnacentral:lncRNA from 1 species
GAAGGUCUCUCAAGUUAUAUGGUGUGUAUAUGGAUGAAUUUGGAUAGCAUGUUGGUGUUUUAUUUAUUAAUGUGUACAAAUUUUUAGGUCAAUAACAUGGUUAGAUCAAAGUGUGUAAAGAUUUUUAUAGAUUUAGGUCUUAGAAAUUAGAAUUUGAAGGUUAGUGAUUAUUUUUAAGAUUUCUAGAAAUUUUUUAAUUGAAUUGAAGUAAUUUUAUUUUUAUUUUUUUUAUUGGAUACUAAAAUCAAUUUUCAACAAUGUAGAUGAAAUUUGGGAGCAAUUCAAUGAUUGAAGAAAGAGAUAUCGGUACUAGAAGUUCAACAUUCAGAUUGGAGUAGAAAGCUACCUAAUACUUGAUUGGAUUAUCUUGCAUUUCUCUCAAUUGGUAAGUGCAAUUGAUUUCAUCUUUUUUGUGCUUGUUUAUAUCUAAGAUAUGAAGAAGUAUGCAAAUUUUGAAUUGAUAUCAAUAGCUUGAUUACAAGUUGUUGAGAUUCUAAAUUACAAUAAGAUUUGAUUUAGGAUUUGUCUAUGAUUUGGUUAGGGCUUAGGAUUUGAUCUAGGAUUUGAUUAAGAUUAGGAUUUUUUUAGAAUUUGGUUUAAAACUUGUCUAAGAUACAAGAUUUCAUUAGGAUUUCAUUAGGGUUUGACCUAAGAUUUGAUUAAGGUUCAAUUAAGAUUUCAAUUAGGAUUUGAUCUAAGAUUUAAUUUAAAAUUUGAUUAAGCUUCAAUUAAGAUUUUAAUUAGGAUUAUAU